rnacentral:sRNA from 1 species
GCAAUGGUCGACUAGGGUUCCGGCUUGCCCGCUCCGCAACGAGACGGGCAAGCGACUGGUCCGAGAGUGGACAACCUCGGCAGAGGUCACACGGCGGGACAAAAGCCCGGGAGAA